rnacentral:rRNA from 1 species
GACGAACGCUGGCGGCGUGCUUAACACAUGCAAGUCGAACGGAAAGGCCCUGCUUUUGUGGGGUGCUCGAGUGGCGAACGGGUGAGUAACACGUGAGUAACCUGCCCUUGACUUUGGGAUAACUUCAGGAAACUGGGGGUAAUACCGGAUAGGAGCUCCUGCUGCAUGGUGGGGGUUGGAAAGUUUCGGCGGUUGGGGAUGGACUCGCGGCUUAUCAGCUUGUUGGUGGGGUAGUGGCUUACCAAGGCUUUGACGGGUAGCCGGCCUGAGAGGGUGACCGGCCACAUUGGGACUGAGAUACGACCCAGACUCCUACGGGAGGCAGCAGUGGGGAAUAUUGCACAAUGGGCGGAAGCCUGAUGCAGCAACGCCGCGUGCGGGAUGACGGCAUUCGGGUUGUAAACCGCUUUCGCCUGUGACGAAGCGUGAGUGACGGUAAUGGGUAAAGAAGCACCGGCUAACUACGUG